AAAUUACUUUCUCACGCAACUAUUCUUUCGAUCUCAUAGUGUACAUUAUCUUCCUCUUUUCUUGAUUAUCCCUCUUUAAAUAAUCAAUCUUUUUCACCAUCUUAUAAGUUUCUUACAUGGCACUUGUCAAAAACAGUGAAUUUUGUUGAACCCCUUGGGAAAGGGUUAGCAAUUAGUAUAUUUUUUGCACAUAAUUCAUAGAGAUGGGUGUGGAGGGUGUGGGGGGUGGGGGUGGGGUGGGGGGUUUGAGAGAGUAGAAGAGGUAAAAAUGGGUGGUGGAUCUUGGAUAAAUAUGAGGGCAUUUGAUUGAUAUACAGUGCAAACAAUAUUGAUUUUCCUUUUGGUAAUGGUGGUUUCUUUUUAUAGUGGAACACUUCUUAUUGAAAAACCCAUCUUUAUAUGUACCUCAACAAGAACAACAACAGCUUGAAAAGCAACAACAAUUGUCUAUUGCUUCUAAUUUCAGUUCUUUAGAAUCUAUCUCUGGUUGCCUUGGCAAAAGACAUCCUACUUUGCUUUCCCGAUUGACGUGUGUUGCAAGUGGCGUGUUCAUCCUCCAUAAGUGAUAGUCCUCGAAGGCUCGAAGCAUAUCUUUCUUCAGCAUGUAAAAGAGUGUCCUGUGAUGGAAAUGUCUGAGUCUCUUAAAGCCAUAUAUUUGUUGUCAUCUUUUGGCUUAGACAGGCAACCAACUUUUCCUCUAUUGGAUCAAAGGAAAAACUCUUUCCUCUCAUUUUAA